AAUGACUCUCGGCAACGGAUAUCUCGGCUCUUGCAUCGAUGAAGAACGUAGCGAAAUGCGAUACUUGGUGUGAAUUGCAGAAUCCCGCGAACCAUCAAUUCUUUGAACGCAAGUUGCGCCCGAAGCCAUUCGGCCGAGGGCACGCCUGCCUGGGCGUCG
rnacentral:rRNA from 1 species